GAGAGGGACCUGUCAAUCAACUGUGGAUUGAUUAAUCCCGCCUCUCUGAGGACGCGAUUGGUCCGGCUGCCCCAGGGCGGGGCUUUCCUGGGAUGCUCGGGGGGCGAUUGGCGUGAGGUUCCAUCCGUUUCCGGGUAGCGCCCGCACGCGGGGGGCGCUGCCGGUCCGUGUUCCCGGGCCCCGCGCCAUCCCUGGGACGGACGGGCCGCGCUUCCCCCAUCCCCGGCAUGGAUGGGCUGCGCUUUCCCUCCCGCACCCCCGCAGGGAGCGCCGAGCCGCACGGCGGGGAGGCGUUGCUGGGCGGCCGCUGCUGCGCUCAGCCUCUCCCUUCGGGCCUGCGGCCCCUGGCAGACCCCCGGGCCGUGCCGGCGCCGCCGGCCCUCGGGCGGGGUCUGGGUUUUAUCCCGCCGGCCCUUUGGUGGUGGGGCUCCCUCGGGCCGGGGCUGGCUAAGGGUCAGGGCAGACCCUGCAGAGGGGCUGAUGGAGCCGGGCUGCGCUGCAGUGGGGCCGGCUGUGCGGGGUGAAGCCGCGGGGCUGGAGUGUGCUCGGGUGCGCCGGUAGCACCGGGGAGGCCGCUCUCGGACGAGCUGCGCCGUUCGGUCGGCACCUUCUGUGCUCGUAGGCGGCGGAGGCUGUGCGUGAGCAGCUGGCAAACUGCUGCAUGGGGCUGUCGCCUUCCUGGCUUUGGCCGUGUCCGGGGGUGGAUUUGACUGCGUUCAUUUUGCCCGGGUUUGGUUGAUUUUUGGUGGGAUAAAGCAGGCGGUUUGUCCCUGCGAAAGUUGCGGUGCUGUGCCUGCUCGGGCUUGGUGCUGAGAGGAGAGACCCGAGUGGUUUUGCACAGCUUGACCUUUUCUCCCGAGCACCUGGCAGGGGUGGCAGCGGGAUGGGGAAAUGGGAGCAAGAUCGGGUUGGCUGCCUGCGCAGCAGGAUGGUUCAGUCGGUGCUGGAGCAAGGGCAGAACUGUCUGAUGUUAGCCAGAGAAGGGCUGGGUUUGGAACGUGUCCUGCAGACUGGCCUGUGCAGCCAGCUGUGCUCGGGCUCCUGGGCAGAUGCCGAAUUCUUUCCAAGAACCUGGCGCAGAGCGUGGAGGUCUCCUAAAGCAGCGGGGCCUCUCCUGUAAGUAGAAGAAAAUGUUGAUGAGUUUUCCUCUGUACUAAAAUACAGUCUCUCACGAAUAACAAGUCACAGUGUAUUUUGAGUGCUAAUUUAUAUUGCAGCUGUAGCAUCUGGACUUUUGGUAUAUUAAUGACCAUUUGUCUUAUUUAUAUCUGUAAGAAAAAGAACUUUUACCAUCCAGUUCUGUUCUUGUGAGAGUUUUGCAGAUCAGCUUGUUUUCAGCAUUCAGAAAAGUGCUCACCUAAUUCUUGUUUCUUGUGGAAUCCAGCUGAUGCUUGAGUGACAACUUUGCUUUAAUUUUUUUGAAGCCACCCUCAGGGUCGUUUCUGUUGCAUUUUAUUUAACUUUAUUAAGAACAGAUUCCAAAGGGAAUUGUUACAAACUUGCCCUUUGUCAUCCCACGUGAAUAGGUUCUGAAUAAGUACAGUGUUGCUGCAGUAUUUAAAAGUAGAUGUAUUUAUGAGGAAACACUUUUAAUCUGAAGGCAAAGUUCAUAUCUUGUGUUGCUGAUGAGCACCAUGUAUUUUGUGAGUUGGUAUGUUUUGCUGUCAUUGAAACAUCACAAGCCAGGCUCACCAUGAUGAUCAAGACACAGAGGAGUGUUUGCUUUCUGUGGUUUAUGUGUUGUGAUUGACAUGGUGAAGGUUUUGCAGUAUGAAAAAAAAAUAUCCUGUUCAUGCUAGCUGGAACUGCAGUAACUUAUGCAGAGCAAAAGUAUGUUUUCCUAUUUGUUGGACAGUUUCAAUAUGCAAAGACUUAACAAGUGUUAAAUGUAAUAUCCCAAGGGGUCUCUUUUGUCAUUUUAACCAAGUAUAAAGAUUCCUGGAGAGUCAAAGUGGAAUUAAAUAAAAAUUGAUUGACAAGAAAGAUAUCUUUUUAUUCUUAAACACAACUAAGUGUUUUCUUUCAAUGAAAUAUUGGGCUAAGAACAGAAUACUGUGGUAUUUGCCUUCCUGAAUUUUGUCCUACCUGUUCCUACAAAGUUAAUUAAAAAUGAGUAACAUAAAGACAUCAGACUCAAGCGUAACAAACCCUUGUGAGUAUACAUUCUUUCAGAAAUCUCGUAGAGCUGUAGUUUGAUCCUCUGUGGUCCAAGAGGUGCCCUUGGUUGCUGGUACCCUGGGCACACCAGGCUUGCAGAGAGAGCAGCAGCGAGGAAGCCGAGGCACGGCUGCCGGAGCAGCAGCAGCGUGCGCAAUAUUCCUCCCACAGCUGCCACCCUGUUGCCACGGAGAUAAUGAUUUAAAUCAUCUGUUCAGAAGAAACAUUAAUGGGAUUUGCAAAGACUCCUGACAUUUUGCUGGUGUUCCUGUUAGAAGACCUAUCACCUCAUUUUGAAAGCACUAAUAAAAGCACCAGUAUUCAAACUGCAGGGUUUAAAUGCUCACAGUCAGUCAUAAACUGGGUUAACAUCAGGCAUUCUGCUGCAGAACAGAAUUAUGAUUUAUAAAUUUGUGGUUUGUUCUCACAUGGUAUACAAGGAGUUGGACAUCCAAGAAUGGUACUGUCAGCCAAAGAGUUUUUAUUUGUUUUUAAAAAGGGGAGGGCUAAGUUAGCUGGUGAGAAAGAAAAGUCUCAUUUCAGCUUAUCAGAAUAGGACAUGUCUUCAUGUUCAAGUCUGAUAUCUCUGUGUCAUUCUGUGUUGUGAUAGUGACUGAAAGUUCCUUCUUGUGCCCUAACAAUUGAGCUCUAUUUAGGUGGGGUUUUUUGUUUAUUGAAGUAUUUAAGUGGGAUAGCUUGAGGUCCACCUGUUUUGCAUGCCAGGUAAAUAAUCUCAGUGUACCAUCAUGGUAUCAUCUGGCAGCACCAAUAUAUCCUCAGUUUUGAGAGUAUUAUGAAUGUUUAAAAUGUGCUUACAAUUCUGGGCUGCCUAAAUCGUGAACACUGAAAACACAUCUGUGAAAGGUUCCUGGUUAUUUUGGAAACGUGCCAGUUUUAAAAAGUUGUGCAACAAACAGCAGAAACCUAAAGAUGCUGUGGGAAUUUUACAGGGAAACUGACAUUUUGAAAUCUGAACUGUAUCUAACUUCCUGUUUGGGGUAUAACCUAGAGAUCUAUAAGCAAGUUUAUUUCUGAACUGGAUUAAGUUAUAUGCAUGGAUUAAUUAAAUAAUAUCCAUGGAUUUAUGGCACAUUCCUAAGAGUGUUUGUGGCAGCCUUAAAAUACAAUGUUCCAUUUCAUAAAUGAGAUCAGUGAAGAAUAUUUACAAAGUGACCUCUGUUAAUUUAACUGAUGGGGAUAAACAUUACCUAAGGCAGUUUUUUGAUUUAAACCAUGUAAAGGCCUUUGGCAGGGAGGGGUCAUGGUAAUCAUCCAAGGAGAAAUGUCUGAGCCUCACAUUUAAGAAAUAGAAUGGAAGGUCAUGUUCAGGCUUGAAUGUGGACCUUUAAAUGAGGCACUCUUGAGACUUCAUUUAUUCUUAAUGACACUGAUAUCACUGUGUGCCUCUUUGCACUGAGCUUUGUGACACUGUCUUGAAGCAAGUAGUAUGACCUCUGUAAUAGAGGAGCAGAUUUGUUCUUUGGAGUAAGCAAGCUGCUUGCAACUGUUCUGGCAUAUGAAAAUCUGUUAGAUCCUUGUUUCUGAUUUGCAGAUGGUAGUGAUUCUUGAAUCUUUCAGUAUUACAGAGGAAGCAUAAUUUUAUAUGUAUCUAUUUCCAUACAGAACUAAGAAAUACUGCCUCUAAUGGGAACACCUCUGGCCUCUUUUCAUCCAGGAGUUAGGAGUGCUAAAAUCUUUGAUGUGCCUUAGAAAAACAUUGGGCAAGCUCAAGAAAAAAAUUGAUCUGCCAAAUAUAAAGGCACCAUUUUGGUAUCAAGCCCUGAGCCAUAGAAGGCUAGGUGUUGCAGCAUAUGCCACAGUGGAGAUGGCCAUGAUAUACAGAGUAUCAUCCUACAAUUUCAUGAAGUUGCAACCCAUAUAGAGUAACCCCAUACCACUGUAGAAGGCUGCAAGCAUCUGCCAUGCAGGCUAACACUGUAUCACUUGAGAAGGCUGCAAGUGUCUGCUCAUCUUGUUCUUUAGCCCUUUUAUCCCCUCAUGUUGAUGCAUUGCACCUGUGUGCCUCUGUUCCCUUUGGUGGUUGGUCAGUGCCCCUGGGCACUCCGUGGCUCAUUGCUGUCAGUGCUGCUCACAGCUGUGCUCAUUGGGGAUGAGGCUGGGCCAGCCCCACUCCCAAUCACCAUAAACUGUUCUACAGCUGGGGAGUGGGACUGGAACUCUGUGCAUGUCCUGUUCUUUGCUUCCUGUGUGCUCACUUUAGUCCAGUGUCAGGGAAACAGGGUCUUGGCCUCUGGUAUGGUAAUUUGUACAACUGUCAUUUAUUUGAAGUGCUGGAAGUGUCUUGGCUUUUAGUAAGGCUGGGAAAACCCCAGGGCACUCAUUGCCUGUAAGGAUUCUUGUGCCCCAGUUAAGGUUUGCCAGCAGGCUCUGUCACAGCUGUGGUGACAGGGGCGUUUUCAUUGGCUCAGUUUGUUUCAAAAACGUGCAGGUGCAGUGAGGCACAAGAGCAUCUGCGAUUAUCGGGCAUGUUGUGACCACGAGGGGGCCCUGGCAGCCUCUGUGUGGGUGAGCCCGGAGUUACACACUGACCGCAGGGGCAGGGCUGAUUGCUUGGUGCCUCAGUGGUUACAUCCUUUCCUGUUCAGCACUUCUGAAUUACCUUACCUCUUAUAUAUAGAGAUUUUUUUUUUAAUUACAGUCUUUUGAUAAGUAAUUUUGAAAAAUGCAUCUUGUUACAAAAAACUCAACACUGGCCAUUUGAUCUCCUCUGUGGCAGAAGACGGUACCCAGCAUGUCAUCACAUGUGAGUUUUCAUCUGUAUGGAUGAUUUCCUCAAGUAAAAGUUCAAGAGUUUUGCACACAUCACUGUAUUUGUAAAGUAGAAGGAAUUGGUAUGAAGAAUCUUAAUGAUAAGUUUUUUUGUAUAUCUUAAGAGUUUUUAAGCUUGGUACUGCAAUAUUUCAAUAAAGAUUUUCGCUCUCUGCA